rnacentral:rRNA from 1 species
AGUGAACGCUGGCGGCAGGCCUAACACAUGCCAGUCGAACGGAAGAACGGUGCUUGCUUGCGGUUCCCGCGGGGGACUGGCGGGUGAGUCACAGGAAUAUCCCUCUCUUCUCUUUCUUACGUCCUAACGCAGGCGCGGAUACUACAUUAGAGCAGAUGGUGAACGGGGGGGAGCAUUGGAUCUUCUGGGCUUUGGUGAGUGUAGGAGGGACUAGCUAGUUGGUGGGGUAAAGGGCUACCAAGGCGACGAUGCGUAGCUGGUCUGAGAGGAUGAUCGGCCACACUGGAACUGAGACACGGUCCAGACUCCUACGGGAGGCAGCAGUGGGGAAUAUUGGGCAAUGGGCGAAAGCCUGAUCCAGCCAUGCCGCGUGUGUGAAGAAGGCCUUCGGAUUGUAAAGCCCUUUUAUUGGGGAAGAAAAGCAGUAGGUUAAUACCUAGCUGUUGUGACGGUACCCAAAGAAUAAGCACCGGCUAACUUCGUG